rnacentral:rRNA from 1 species
GAUGAACGCUGGCGGCGUGCCUAACACAUGCAAGUCGAACGCUCGCAAGAGAGUGGCGCACGGGUGAGUAACACGUAGCUAAUCUGCCCUCAAGACAAGGAUAACUGUAGGAAACUACUGCUAAUACUUGAUAAGCUUACGGACUGUAGAGGUCUAUAAGAAAGAUUUAUCGCUUGAGGAUGAGGCUGCGCGCCAUCAGCUAGUUGGUGAGGUAAUGGCUCACCAAGGCGACGACGGCUAGGGGACCUGAGAGGGUGACCCCCCACACUGGGACUGAGACACGGCCCAGACUCCUACGGGAGGCAGCAGUGAGGAAUAUUGCUCAAUGGGCGCAAGCCUGAAGCAGCGACGCCGCGUGGAUGAAGAAGGUUUUCGGACUGUAAAAUCCUUUUCUGUGUGACGAGAGUGGACGGUAGCACAGGAAUAAGUCUCGGCUAACUACGUGCCAGCAGCCGCGGUAAU